rnacentral:tRNA from 1 species
GGCUCUAUAGUGUAGUGGUUACCACAUCUGCUUUACACGCAGAAGGUCCUGGGUUCAUGCGCCAGAUGGAGCCA